rnacentral:rRNA from 1 species
AUUGAACGCUGGCGGCAGGCCUAACACAUGCAAGUCGAGCGGAUGAAGGGAGCUUGCUCCUGGAUUCAGCGGCGGACGGGUGAGUAAUGCCUAUGAAUCUGCCUGGUAGUGGGGGAUAACGUCCGGAAACGGGCGCUAAUACCGCAUACGUCCUGAGGGAGAAAGUGGGGGAUCUUCGGACCUCACGCUAUCAGAUGAUCCUAGGUCGGAUUAGCUAGUUGGUGGGGUAAAGGCCUACCAAGGCGACGAUCCGUAACUGGUCUGAGAGGAUGAUCAGUCACACUGGAACUGAGACACGGUCCAGACUCCUACGGGAGGCAGCAGUGGGGAAUAUUGGACAAUGGGCGAAAGCCUGAUCCAGCCAUGCCGCGUGUGUGAAGAAGGUCUUCGGAUUGUAAAGCACUUUAAGUUGGGAGGAAGGGCAGUAAGUUAAUACCGUGCUGUUUUGACGUUACCAACAGAAUAAGCACCGGCUAACUUCGUG